rnacentral:rRNA from 1 species
UACGUAGGGCGCAAGCGUUGUCCGGAAUUAUUGGGCGUAAAGAGCUCGUAGGUGGUUUGUCGCGUCUGUCGUGAAAGCCCGGGGCUUAACUCCGGGUCUGCGGUGGAUACGGGCAGACUAGAGGCAGGUAGGGGAGAACGGAAUUCCCGGUGUAGCGGUGAAAUGCGCAGAUAUCGGGAAGAACACCCGUGGCGAAGGCGGCUCUCUGGAACGCAACUGACGCUGAGACGCGAAAGCGUGGGGAGCAAACAGG